rnacentral:misc_RNA from 1 species
GAAAAUGGAGGGGAAAUUAGGUGUGAAAUUUGUUAUUUUGUAGUCUUCCUCAAAAUUUUCAAAAAACGAUACCCUUUCGAUAAAAAGCGACAGGGCGCGUACUUGCACGCGGAGGUUCUGCUUGUUAAUAUGAUUACUUCUGAUUUGUGUGGUGUUGAUAUGGCGCUACUAUUUCUAAAUUUAAAAUAUAGCAACAAAAUAAUCUUUAGAUGUGAUAAAAAAUAAUAAUUUGAAAAAAAUAUAUAUUUUUUGAGACCUCCAGUGAAUAAUUUAAAUAAUUGUUGAUCCAAUUUAAUGUUACCAGCGGACGACAGAAGAGUGUGGUGGCGUGAGUGUGGCGCGUGCAACAAAUGAGGGCCAGAAGCUGGAGUUGAGGUUGGGGUGCGCAAUGUGCAUAGCGGGAGCAAGACAAGAGUGGGCGCCGG